rnacentral:rRNA from 1 species
UACGAAGGGGGCUAGCGUUGUUCGGAAUUACUGGGCGUAAAGCGCACGUAGGCGGGUUGUUAAGUCAGGGGGUGAAAUCCUGGAGCUCAACUCCAGAACUGCCUUUGAUACUGGCAACCUAGAGGCUGGAAGAGGUUAGUGGAAUUCCCAGUGUAGAGGUGAAAUUCGUAGAUAUUGGGAAGAACACCAGUGGCGAAGGCGGCUAACUGGUCCAGAUCUGACGCUGAGGUGCGAAAGCGUGGGGAGCAAACAGG